UAUGAAACGGAGAAUAUAAAAUAUGAGAUGGUACCACCAAAAAUAAAAAGAAAAUGACAAAAAUAACCCUGACCAAACACAAAAUCAUGAUAAAACGGUUGGCUUUAGCUUCUUGUUAACUGUUAUUAUUCUUCAUUCAUUAUAUAUGAAAACACUCAUUUGCCGUUGCCUAACAACUGUUCGACGAAUUGCCUCAAAGAAAAGAAAAAACGAAAUUUGUGAUCGAACGAUUUGUUUAUUAGAGGAUUUUAUGAUUAUGAGUGGAUUUGAUCAGUUACAGUGUUGUUACAAUUUAAGCCGCAUCAUUGCUGGCCUUCUUCUCUUCAUGCUUUAUCAUUCUUUCCAACUUCUUGCUUCCUAUACACCCUUAACAACAUUCUCCACACACCCUUUUCUAUUCUUGAUUGAUUUCUUCCGAACCAUUGUUGAAUCAUGGAGCUCAAAGGGAAUGAUUCUGGCACUUUACCACCUUGCUUAGGGAGGCGACAUGGUUCAUCUCCGUCGGUCAUUGUAAUUGGUGGAGGUAUCUCAGGGGUAGCUGCUGCACGUUUCCUUCACAAUGCUUAUUUCAAGGUGCUCUUGCUGGAGUCACGAGAUAGACUUGGUGGUCGCAUACACACUGACAACUCGUUUGGUUGUCCAGUUGAUAUGGGAGCUUCAUGGCUCCAUGGAGUGUGCAAUGAAAAUCCUUUAGCUCCAUUGAUACGUCGGCUGGGGCUCACACUGUAUCGAACUAGUGGUGAUGACUCAGUGCUGUAUGACCAUGAUUUGGAAAGCUGCAUGCUGUUUGACAUGGAUGGCCAUCAAGUUCCUCAUAAAAUAGUUGCUGAAGUAGGAGAUGCAUUCAAGAAAAUCCUCGAUGAGACUGAGAAAGUGAGAAAUGAGAAUAGUAAUGACAUAUCGGUUCUUCAAGCAAUAUCUAUAGUAUUGGACAGGCAUCCUGAGCUGAGGCAAGAAGGAGUCUCUCAUGAAGUACUGCAGUGGUACAUAUGCAGAAUGGAGGCAUGGUUUUCUGCCGAUGCAGACACGAUCUCUUUGAAAACUUGGGAUCAGGAGCAAGUUCUUACGGGUGGCCAUGGACUAAUGGUGCAGGGUUAUCACCCGGUGAUUGAGGCAUUGUCAAAAGAUAUUGAUAUUCGUUUGAAUCACAGGGUAAAGGCAAUUACGGAUGGGUAUAACAAAGUGAUGGUUACACUUGAGGAUGGGAGGAAUUUUGUUGCGGAUGCUGCUAUAAUAACUGUACCUAUUGGGGUCCUCAAAGCCAACUUAAUUGAGUUCAAACCCAAAUUGCCAGAUUGGAAGCUUUCUGCAAUAGCAGAUCUUGGUGUGGGCAACGAAAACAAGAUUGCAUUACGAUUUGAUACUGUAUUUUGGCCAAACGUUGAAUUGUUAGGCAUUGUUGCCCCUACCUCUUAUGCUUGUGGGUAUUUUCUUAACCUCCACAAGGCAACAGGGCAUCAAGUCCUUGUCUAUAUGGCUGCCGGAAGACUUGCUUAUGACGUAGAGAAAUUAUCAGACAAAGAGGCGGCUAAUUUUGUUAUGCGUCAGCUGAAAAAAAUGUUUCCUGAUGCACCUGAACCUGUUCAGUAUCUCGUAUCACGCUGGGGAACAGAUCCGGAUUCCCUAGGAUGCUAUUCGUAUGAUCUGGUUGGAAAGCCAACAGAUAUAUAUGAUAAGCUUCGAGCACCUUUAGGUAAUCUAUUCUUUGGAGGCGAAGCUGUGUGUAUGGAUGACCAUCAAGGGUCUGUGCACGGUGCAUAUUCAGCUGGAAUCAUAGCUGCUGAAGAUUGCUGCCAGCAUCUCAUUAAGAGACUUGGAAGUGUUCAACUUGUUUCCUCCAGGGAAGAAAUUCUCAAAUCCAUUGUUCCUCUCAAGAUUUCCAGGAUGUGAUCGAUCAUCUUCCAACAAAUUCAUAACUAGGUUUAGUUUCCCUUUUUUUCCCCUCUGCUCAACAGGAAAUGUUGAAAAAAAUGGGGAUAUAUUUAGUUCAAUAUGAUAGAGCUGGAUAUGGGGAAAGUGACCCAAACCCUAAAAGAACCCAAAGGAGUGAAGCAUGUGAUAUUGAAGAAUUGGCUGAUCACUUACAAUUACAAUCAAAAUUCUAUAUUAUUAGUAACUCCAUGGGAUCUUACCCAACUUGGAGUUGCAUCAAGCACAUUCCCCAAAGGCAAGAUCCACUAUUUAUUGGCCUUUAAUUUGCUCGGAAAAACUAUGGAAUAGAAAUGAUUUUGACAACCUUUGCAAUGAUUUCCUUGUGGCUUUUAGUAAGUGGGAUUUUGAUCCAUUGGAGCUAAUUAAUUGUCCUAUUUUUGAAAAUGGUCAAAGUAAUGUUCACAUUUGGCAUGGUUGUGAGGACCAAUAUAUUAAUUUGAAAUUACAAAGGUAUGUAGCAAAAAUGUUACCUUGGAUUCAAUAUCAUGAAGUUCAUGAUGGUGGACAUUUAUUGAUAUAUGAUAGUGUAGUUUGUGAAGAUA